GCAACCUCCUUUUUCACACUUUCUUCUAAAAACUCCGAGCCAGAGCACAAGAAACAGAAGACCGUGUUCAUGGAUUGUAGGGCGUGUUUCAAAGGGUUUAUGAAGAAUUAGAAGGUGGGUCAGUGGAAAUCAACAUGUAAUGAGGUGUUUGUUGUCUGUUUCAAAUUUGCGGUAAGAUAAUUGAGAAAUUAAGCUAUAGAUGAAGCAGAUGGGUUCGAUAUGAGAUUUGAGAAUCAAGGAAUUGUUGGUAGUGAUGUUUCUGAGGUAAUUCAGUUCUAUGAUUUGAUGGAGAUGAUGAUUCAAAAAAUAAUCAACCAAGAAGGAUCUCACUGAUUCGUCUUUGCAGGGAAUUAGGGUUGGGACGUCAAGUCUAUCCAGACUUUCAUUGUAAAAAACUAAGUCCGGAAUGUUGAGAUAAAAGGACCUGAAAUUAAUGCCAAAUGAUUCGAAACUCCCUGGAAACUGUUGAGAAAAUUAUUGUUGGUGGUCAGUUGGAGAAACCGAAUUUAAAGUUUAUUUGACGAAAAUUGGAUUGGGAUUAACAGGGGAGAAAAACGUUCUUAUGGAUCGAAUUAAGGAACAUUUUGGGAUCAUAAAUGGUGGUAGAAAACAGAAGUAUCAGGUAACUAGCUUUGUGUACAACUGCAAAGACACGCAACAUCAGUUCAAUGCACGAGAGAGUGAUUGUGGCUUCACGUCCUUUAUGCCUCUAAGUGAACUCUACGAUCCUAGCAGAAAAUUUCUUGCUACGAUACAGUAAUUAUUGAAGCCGAGAUUAUUGUUUGUAAGGUUGUGGAUUAUUGGAGUUAUAAUUCAAAGAAAGAAACAAGCUUUGUUGGUCUUAAAAAUCAGGGUGCAACAUGAACUCUCUACUUCAGAAAGGACGUAUACCAUAUGGCCCCAACUGAGAAUGAUAUGUCAUGUGGAAGCAUUCCUCUGGCUUUGCAAAACAUAUUUUACAAGCUUCAAUACAGUGACAACAGUGUUGCAACUAAAGAGCUGACAAGAUGUUUUGUGUAUGAUAUAUAUGAUUCUUUCCUGCAGCAUGAUAUACAAGAACUCAAUAGGGUUCUUUCUGAAAAGCUCGAAGAUAAAAAGAAAAUAAGCACUUUCUGCUGAUCUUAAACAAAUUUACAAAUUACUUUAAUACCUAGAGUUGAAUUUUGUUGGUCUGUCUGAUAUCUGCCACUGAUUUUAAUUUGAUCUUUGUCUUUUUUGUUAGGGGACUGUUGUGGAGGGUACUAUCCAACAAAUUUUGAAGGACACCAUAUGAACUAUAUUGAGUGCAUCAAUGAGGACAACAAAUUUACGAUAAAGGAGUCAUUUUAUGGUAUUAAUAACUAUUCUAGUUUAUGAAGCUGCUGCUACUGUUAUUGAGGAACCGUAAUGGAUGAAAGAGAUUAGGACAUGGAUUUCGAAGCUGAGACGAAGAAGAAGACUUGAAUUUGUGAUAAUUCCGAUAGAAGAUUUGUGAAGUUGUUGAGUGACCAUCUAUUUGAGAUGAAUGGAGAGAUAUUAACAAGCGCUUACGAGUCAGUGAUUAGAUCAAUGGAAGUGUACCUGAAGUGGGAGGUGUCAAAGCUGAUGGAAUGAAAGUGUUUCCUUCUUCCUAAGCUUUUGGAUUUCUUUGUUAUCUUUCAUUCAAAAUCCUUUCACCUUUUUUUUUUAAGUUUUUUUUCCUUCUUUUCUACAUAUUGAUCCAUGGUGUAUAUUGGAGGCUCUCUGAAAAGACGAGGGUACCCAAAUAUACCUCAAUCUAAAACUUUUCUAUCUAUAAGUCCCUUUUUUCCGAAA